AUAUGUUAAUAGCAUAUUCAUUUGACGUUAGCUGCAGAAGAAAGCACCGGCUAACUCCGUGCCAGCAGCCGCGGUAAUACGGAGGGUGCGAGCGUUAAUCGGAAUUACUGGCGUAAAGCGCAUGCAGGUGGUUUGUUAAGUCAGAUGUGAAAGACCCGGGGCGUCAACCUCGGAAUUGCAUUUGAAACUAGGCAAACUAGAGUACUGUAGAGGGGGGUAGGAAUUUCAGGUGUAGCGGUGAAAUGCGUAGAGAUCUGAAGGAAUACCGGUGGCGAAGGCGGCCCCCUCGGACAGAUACUGACACUCAGAUGCGAAAGCGUGGGGAGCAAACAGGAUUAGAUACCCUGGUAG
rnacentral:rRNA from 1 species